rnacentral:lncRNA from 1 species
UUGGUGUACAAACAAUGAGAUUACCCAUAGUCCUUUAGAUUCUGAAAAGGCGAAUUGUGUCCAUCUUUAUUUCAGAAUUCAGACUCCCGUCAAAGGCACAUACUUUAUGCUAAACCACUAUAAUUUCUUUUAUGUGAUAACUGAUAUUAUUGAAGCAUAACUGUGAUUUAAGUAAGCAAGGCUGAGAAGCUAUAUUACAUAUUCAAUUAGCUGAGAACAUGAUACCCGUGAUUUUCUAACUGAACACAUUGUAUAAAACAGCCAAUACAAGCAUUGAACAAGGCAUGCCAUCAUUUACAUGGAAGACCUCAUUUGCCAUACUGUGAAUUCAUUUAUUUUCCUGGAUUAAGGAAAAUAUUCAUGUUUGUGAAUAUCUACUAGUAAUUUCGUGGUUUUGAGGAAGUCUGCAUACAAGCCUAUAGAAAAUGUGUUAUUCGUUUAAAUUUUCGUGGUUCAUCUGUACCCUUGAAAUCCAUGAAAAUUGGUAUCCCACAAAUAAUAUUGAAUCCACAGUACCAUGAAAGUAAUUUUAUUUGUAAAUCAUUGCACUGUGAAAUGUUUGAGGUGGGAGUAAAGUGAGAAGCUAUAAAAAAAAGUUUGGUUUUGAGACUGGGUUGAAUAAAAAUAUCUGGUUAUGUGUUAACUAAUGUAUCUUUUCUUCUACUUUUUAAAUAUAUCAGAGUAAUAUUAACCAUAAUCUUUUUUUUUAUUCCUUGGCCUAUGAUAGUGGAGGGUCUUUAUUUUUCUGGUUUUAGGUUAAUAAUUGGGUUUAAGGUAGGUUUAAGUUCUUUUAAAGUUUGUUUUUUUGUGGUCACGUCUAUUUUAAAACUAAAUUUUUAUGUGGUCACAUCUAUUUUAAAACUUGUUACUUUAUGUUUUAUUUCAAAAUUUUAUACUGAACAAGUUUUUUACAUGCAAAAUAUAAAAGUUCACUGAACAUGUGAUAGUGUGAACUGGAUGUGGUAUCCAAGGAAACGGAUUCUUGUUAUUCUAAAUUGAUGAAGAGUUUAUCAUGAUUAUCUGUUUAACCUUAAGUUUGAAAUAAAUAAAUGAUUAAAUCAAUCAUACUUAGAAAUGAACAUUACCAUUUUUUUUAAAUUAAAAUACUCAUUAACAGAAUUC